UACGUAGGGUGCAAGCGUUAAUCGGAAUUACUGGGCGUAAAGCGUGCGCAGGCGGUUAUGUAAGACAGAUGUGAAAUGCCCGGGCUUAACCUGGGAACUGCAUUUGUGACUGCAUGGCUAGAGUUUGGCAGAGGGGGGUAGAAUUCCACGUGUAGCAGUGAAAUGCGUAGAUAUGUGGAGGAACACCGAUGGCGAAGGCAGCCCCCUGGGUCAAGACUGACGCUCAUGCACGAAAGCGUGGGGGGCAAACAGG
rnacentral:rRNA from 1 species